AUUGAACGCUGGCGGCAGGCCUAACACAUGCAAGUCGAACGAGUGGCGGACGGGUGAGUAAUGUCUGGGAAACUGCCCGAUGGAGGGGGAUAACUACUGGAAACGGUAGCUACUACCGCAUACCAUCGGAUGUGCCCAGAUGGGAUUAGCUAGUAGGUGGGGUAACGGCGCACCUAGGCGACGAUCCCUAGCUGGUCGGAGAGGAUGCCCCUCCCCCCUGGAACUGAGACACGGUCCAGACUCGUCGUUGCCUCCCCCUGUUUGCUUCUUUCGCCGUGGGCGCAAGCCUGAUGUAGCCAUGCCGCGUGUAUGAAGAAGGCCUUCGGGUUUUCCAGUACUUUCAGCGAGGAGGCGUUACUCGCAGAAGAAGCACCGGCUAACUCCGUGCCAGCAGCCGCGGUAAUUC
rnacentral:rRNA from 1 species